GGGGGUGGCUUAGAGCCCCCGCUUGCGGAAGUGUUAAUAGUAGUGUUUUUGGCCGGACAUUACGGUUAGUGAAUC
rnacentral:ncRNA from 1 species